AACGAACGCUGGCGGCGUGCUUAACACAUGCAAGUCGAACGGUGAAGGGGAGCUUGCUCCCCGGAUCAGUGGCGAACGGGUGAGUAACACGUGGGCAACCUGCCCCAGACUUCGGGAUAACGCUUCGAAAGAGGUGCUAAUACCGGAUACGAACUCCUUGGGCAUCCUGGGAGUUGGAAAGUUUUUCGGUCUGGGAUGGGCCCGCGGCCUAUCAGCUUGUUGGUGAGGUAACGGCGCACCAAGGCGACGACGGGUAGCCGGCCUGAGAGGGCGACCGGGCACACUGGGACUGGGACACGGCCCAGACUCCUACGGGAGGCAGCAGUGGGGAAUAUUGCGCAAUGGGCGAAAGCCUGACGCAGCAACGCCGCGUGAGGGAUGACGGCCUUCGGGUUGUAAACCUCUUUCAGCAGGGAAGAAGCGAAAGUGACGGUACCUGCAGAAGAAGCACCGGCUAACUACGUGCCAGCCGCCGCAGUAACAC
rnacentral:rRNA from 1 species